GAGGGGUAAGAAGGUAGUAAAAAAGAAAUCAAGGUGGGAGAUCUGGUCAUCAAAAAAAGAAAAAACUGGGAGAACCUCGGGAAGUUAUAAGAAACUUGGGAAGGACCAUAUGUUGUCACUCGAAGCAACAGGUCAGGAUCCUUUUACCUUGCAGAUCAGCUUGGAGCAGAGUUGCCACACUUUUGGAAUGUGGACAACUUGUGCAAAUAUUACCCAUAGUCGCUACACUUACAAAAGCCUUCAACUUGUGAAUCUAUAAACAAUGUUGAGGGUACAAAAUUUACUUUAUCGUAUUUACUUUUCCGCAAUUGGGUCGUACUCUUUUCCUUGCUAGGGGGCCACCACACUGGAGGCAAGGUUUUUAAUGAGGCGGAUCCAUCUAAACCUUUUACAUUCUAAUGAAAUAGAAUUCCCCCUUUAUCUUCUGAUUGUCAAGCCUCGAAGAGGCUAUUAACUUGCAUUUCUGUGCAAGAUCCACCCUAAAGCAAGAACAAGUUGCGAGACCUCGCAUUUCUAUGCGAUGAAAAGUUGCGUUUCUGCACAAGGACUUGUGCUUCUGCGCAAGAUCCACCCUAACGCAACAACAAGUUGUGAGACCUCGCAUUUCUGUGCGAUGAAAAACUUGCAUUUUUGCACAAGCAUGGGGCAAAAGCAACAACAAGUUGCAGCAUCCGAGCCUCGCACUCAUAUGUGAUGAAAAAUUUCUAUCCAAUGUUGCAGGUUUACAAGUUUUAAGUGUUCAAUCUUCAUAAAAAAUUCUACUCAACCUUGCAAGUUUACAAAUUUAAAUGAUCAAUUUCUAUAAAAAAUUC
rnacentral:lncRNA from 1 species